rnacentral:rRNA from 1 species
ACGUAGGUGGCAAGCGUUAUCCGGAUUUACUGGGUGUAAAGGGCGUGUAGGCGGGUCUGCAAGUCGGAUGUGAAAUUCCCGGGCUUAACUCGGGCGGGUCAUCCGAAACUGCGGAUCUUGAGUACUGGAGAGGAUAGUGGAAUUCCUAGUAGGGCGAUAAAUGGCGUAGAGAUUAGGAGGAACAGCAAAGGCGGAGGCAGCAAACUGGACAGUAACUCAAGCUGAUGCGCGUAAGUGUGUUGAGCAAAAAG